GGGCGGCUAGCUCAGUGGUUAGAGCGCGUGACUCACAUUCACGAGGUCAGAGGUUCGAAUCCUCUGCUGCCCACCA
rnacentral:tRNA from 1 species